UCAGGAUGAACGCUGGCGGCGUGCUUAACACAUGCAAGUCGAACGAAGCAAUUUUCUACGAUCCUUUCGGGGUGACGGAUUAUUGACUGAGUGGCGGACGGGUGAGUAACGCGUGGGUAACCUACCUUGUACAGGGGGACAACAGUUGGAAACGACUGCUAAUACCGCAUAAGCGCACAGCAUCGCAUGAUGCAGUGUGAAAAGUUUUUUCGGUACAAGAUGGACCCGCGUCUGAUUAGCUAGUUGGUGAGGUAACGGCCCACCAAGGCGACGAUCAGUAGCCGACCUGAGAGGGUGACCGGCCACAUUGGGACUGAGACACGGCCCAAACUCCUACGGGAGGCAGCAGUGGGGAAUAUUGCACAAUGGGCGAAAGCCUGAUGCAGCGACGCCGCGUGAGCGAAGAAGUAUUUCGGUAUGUAAAGCUCUAUCAGCAGGGAAGAUAAUGACGGUACCUGACUAAGAAGCACCGGCUAAAUACGUGCCAGCAGCCGCGGUAAUACGUAUGGUGCAAGCGUUAUCCGGAUUUACUGGGUGUAAAGGGAGCGUAGGCGGUUUUACAAGUCUGAUGUGAAAGCCCGGGGCUCAACUCCGGUAUUGCAUUGGAAACUGUAGAACUAGAGUGUCGGAGGGGUAAGUGGAAUUCCUAGUGUAGCGGUGAAAUGCGUAGAUAUUAGGAGGAACACCAGUGGCGAAGGCGGCUUACUGGACGA
rnacentral:rRNA from 1 species